rnacentral:misc_RNA from 1 species
ACCCUUGUGGAGGAGGACGCCGAAGGUGGGGCUAAUGACUGGGGUGAAGUCGUAACAAGGUAGCCGUACCGGAAGGUGCGGCUGGAUCACCUCCUAACAGGGAGACAACAAAAUGUUUAAUAUUAUUAUUUUGUCACCUUAGGUCGAUCGGUAUCUCACAUUCUUAAUUUAUUAAGGAUUUCAUUUCCUAAGUUUUUCUAGGUCACACCCAUUAUUUUUCCUGGGCCAUUAGCUCAGGUGGUUAGAGCGCACCCCUGAUAAGGGUGAGGUCCCUGGUUCAAGUCCAGGAUGGCCCAUAUCUCUAUGUUGGGGGUAUAGCUCAGUUGGUAGAGCGCCUGCUUUGCAAGCAGGAUGUCAGCGGUUCGAGUCCGCUUACCUCCACUGAUUACCACCUCUUCCAUAAUCUGUAGAAAGGAAAAUUUUUGUGUUGUGAACCUAAUUCUGAACGAAUCUAGCUUCCUAAUGAAACCAUUAAGAUGCUGGACUCAUUGAAUUAAUUCAUUGUUUUCAGAGAACCUUGACAACUGCAUAGAUUAUUUUUAAAGACAAUAAGCAUUUUUAAUGAUGCAGAUUUAUUAUUUUUGCAAAUGCAUUAAUAACAAUUCUAUUAAGCUGAUGCUUCAAAUUUUGAAGUUAUUGGUCAAGCUACAAAGGGCUCACGGAGGAUACCUAGGCACAC